AACGAACGCUGGCGGCAUGCCUAACACAUGCAAGUCGAACGAACCCUUCGGGGUUAGUGGCGCACGGGUGCGUAACGCGUGGGAAUCUGCCCUUUGCUUCGGAAUAACUCAGGGAAACUUGUGCUAAUACCGGAUGAUGUCUUCGGACCAAAGAUUUAUCGGCAAGGGAUGAGCCCGCGUAGGAUUAGGUAGUUGGUGGGGUAAAGGCCUACCAAGCCGACGAUCCUUAGCUGGUCUGAGAGGAUGAUCAGCCACACUGGGACUGAGACACGGCCCAGACUCCUACGGGAGGCAGCAGUGGGGAAUAUUGGACGAUGGGCGCAAGCCUGAUCCAGCAAUGCCGCGUGAGUGAUGAAGGCCCUCGGGUCGUAAAGCUCUUUUACCAGGGAUGAUAAUGACAGUACCUGGAGAAUAAGCUCCGGCUAACUCCGUG
rnacentral:rRNA from 1 species